rnacentral:rRNA from 1 species
UACGUAGGGGGCUAGCGUUGUCCGGAAUCAUUGGGCGUAAAGCGCGCGUAGGCGGCCCGGUAAGUCCGUUGUAAAAGUCAAAGGCUCAACCUUUGAAAGCCGAUGGAUACUGUCGGGCUAGAGUCCGGAAGAGGCGAGUAGAAUUCCUGGUGUAGCGGUGGAAUGCGCAGAUAUCAGGAGGAAUACCUAUGGCGAAGGCAGCUCGCUGGGACGUUACUGACGCUGAGACGCGAAAGCGUGGGGAGCAAACAGG